GACAGAGGGUGCAAACGUUGUUCGGAAUUACUGGGCGUAAAGCGCGUGUAGGCGGCUAAGCAAGUCGGGCGUGAAAUCCCACCGCUCAACGGUGGAAGUGCACCCGAAACUGCAUAGCUAGAGUCCUGGAGAGGAAGGUGGAAUGCUUGGUGUAGAGGUGAAAUUCGUAGAUAUCAAGCGGAACACCGGUGGCGAAGGCGGUUCUCUGGGCCUUACCUGACGCUCAGGCGCGAAAGCUAGGGGAGCGAACAGG
rnacentral:rRNA from 1 species